GCCGGCCUACGGCGUUGGUGAUGGUGGUAACCGAUUUUUGAACCAACACCGAAUGAACGGGGACUCGACUCGAAAACGUAACGAUCCGGUGUGCAAGGUUCCGCCAGUCGGAAAUGCCUAAUGGGUCGCGGCGGGUUCCCACCGUCUACGACGGGUUCAUUCUCGGCCUACCACACGGCACAGUGGGUCGGCU
rnacentral:other from 1 species